rnacentral:rRNA from 1 species
AGCGAACGCUGGCGGCAGGCCUAACACAUGCAAGUCGAACGAACCUUUCGGGGUUAGUGGCGGACGGGUGAGUAACACGUGGGAACGUGCCUUUAGGUUCGGAAUAACUCAGGGAAACUUGUGCUAAUACCGAAUGUGCCCUUCGGGGGAAAGAUUUAUCGCCUUUAGAGCGGCCCGCGUCUGAUUAGCUAGUUGGUUGAGGUAAUGGCUCACCAAGGCGACGAUCAGUAGCUGGUCUGAGAGGAUGAUCAGCCACAUUGGGACUGAGACACGGCCCAAACUCCUACGGGAGGCAGCAGUGGGGAAUCUUGCGCAAUGGGCGAAAGCCUGACGCAGCCAUGACGCGUGAAUGAUGAAGGUAUUAGGAUUGUAAAAUUCUUUCACCGGGGACGAUAAUGACGGUACCCGGAGAAGAAGCCCCGGCUAACUUCGUG